CCAUAACGUUAGUAUAAGUAAAUAGAAAUCUAUGAAAUUUAAACACAAGGUUUAUGACCAUAAAAGGAAGGUUGGUAUUGAUUUUGGGAGUUUUGGUCCCAACAUAAUAAGGGGCCCAAAGGGUCCAAAAUUAAACUUUUGUUUGAUUUCAUCAAAAUUGAAUAAUUGGGGUUCUUUGAUAUGCCGAAUCUAACUGUCAUGACUGUGUAUGUAGAUUCUUAACUUUUGGUCCCGUUUUCAAAUUGGUCUACAUUAAGGUC
rnacentral:lncRNA from 1 species